GAUGAACGCUGGCGGCGUGCCUAAUACAUGCAAGUCGAGCGAACAGACGAGGAGCUUGCUCCUCUGACGUUAGCGGCGGACGGGUGAGUAACACGUGGAUAACCUACCUAUAAGACUGGGAUAACUUCGGGAAACCGGCGCUAAUACCGGAUAAUAUAUUGAACCGCAGGGUUCAAUAGUGAAAGACGGUGUUGCUGUCACUUCUAGAUGGAUCCGCGCCGCAUUAGCUAGUUGGUAAGGUAACGGCUUACCAAGGCUACGAUGCGUAGCCGACCGGAUAGGGUGAUCGCCCACACUGGAACUGAGACACGGUCCAUACUCCUACGGGAGGCAGCAGUAGGGAAUCUUCCGCAAUGGGCGAAAGCUUGACGGAGCAACGCCGCGUGAGUGAUGGAGGUCUUCGGAUCGUAAAACUCUGUUAUUAGGGAAGAACAAAUGUGUACGUAACUAUGCACGUCUUGACGGUACCUAAUCAGAAAGCCACGGCUAACUACGUG
rnacentral:rRNA from 1 species